GCCACUGAUCAGAUUUAUAGGAUUGUCCAGUAGGAGUGAUUUUUAUGACUACCAUCCAUGCUAGGGCCUUGCAUAUGGGCCGACAUGAUUUGCACGUUACUCGGCCAUAUAUCCUUUAGAGGGGAUGUCUCUACCAUAUUACAUUUCUUCUAGCUCCACUGUGUUAUCUUCCAGGACAUUGAUGGGGUGGGUUUGUUCAUCUCUUUGACUGGUGUCUUCCAAAGCCAAUGUAUUAUGAUGGUAGUAGGUUGUAUGCACAUAUGUUAUUAAUGCUAUGACUAGUAUGUGGGUAUCUUAAUUGUAUUGGUAUGUGGGUAUAUCUUGAAUUGUGUGUGUUUUAAAAGGAGAGAUUCUCUUGUUAUCUUUGGGAAUUUGAAAUUGGACGCAACAAUCAUUAGUCAA